rnacentral:rRNA from 1 species
CGGGGUAGAGUAACGCGUGAGGAACCUGCCUCAAAGAGGGGGACAACAGUUGGAAACGACUGCUAAUACCGCAUAAGCCCACAGCUCGGCAUCGAGCAGAGGGAAAAGGAGCAAUCCGCUUUGAGAUGGCCUCGCGUCCGAUUAGCUAGUUGGUGAGGUAACGGCCCACCAAGGCGACGAUCAAUAGCCGACCUGAGAGGGUGACCGGCCACAUUGGGACUGAGACACGGCCCAA